UACAGAGGGUGCAAGCGUUAAUCGGAAUCACUGGGCUUAAAGCGUUCGUAGGCGGACCUGCAGGCGCGUUGUGAAAGCCCCCGGCUCAACCGGGGAACUGCUUCGCGAACCGCAGGUCUUGAGUCAAGUAGGGCAGCCGGAACGAUAGGUGGAGCGGUGAAAUGCGUAGAUAUCUGGAGGAACACCGGUGGCGAAGGCGGCGUUCUGGACUGUCUCUGACACUGAAGAACGAAAGCCAGGGGAGCAAACGGG
rnacentral:rRNA from 1 species